GCAGCUGCACCAUUUUGCAUUUCUACCAGCAAUGCAUGAGGGUUCCAUUUUAUCUGCGUCACUCUCAACACUUUGUGAAUGGCCAUCCAUAUUCUUCAGAGAAAUGUUUAUUCAAGACUGCUUCUCAGUUUUAAAUCAGGAAAUGACAUACCUCCAUCUAUUGUCCUGAAGAGCAGUCAGUGUUUUGAAUCUCUAUGAGGGUUGGCUUCUUCACCUGCUAGGGAUAUGGCUAUCAGCAAGUUACAGUUGCUGCUGUCUGGAUAAUCCCUCGGGAUAAUAUGGGGUGUGAGAUGCCACUGAGCCUUACUACAGUAGCAUACGAAUGAAAAUAGUGAAUCUGAAGAACAUUUUGAAAGUUGUAUGGAUACCUGUAGAAACUGAAAGUAAACGUUUAGGAAAAGGCUGAUACAUCAUGUUUCUGCCAUGAGUCUCUGAGGGAAUAAUGAAAUAAGUGACUUCU
rnacentral:lncRNA from 1 species